AACGAACGCUGGCGGCAUGCCUAACACAUGCCAGUCGAACGAUUGCCUUCGGGUGAUAGUGGCGCACGGGUGCGUAACGCGUGGGAAUCUGCCCUUAGGUUCGGAAUAACAGCUGGAAAAGGCUGCUAAUACCGGAUGAUAUCGCGAGAUCAAAGAUUUAUCGCCUGAGGAUGAGCCCGCGUUGGAUUAGGUAGUUGGUGGGGUAAAGGCCUACCAAGCCGACGAUCCAUAGCUGGUCUGAGAGGAUGAUCAGCCACACUGGGACUGAGACACGGCCCAGACUCCUACGGGAGGCAGCAGUGGGGAAUAUUGUACAAUGGGCGCAAGCCUGAUCCAGCAAUGCCGCGUGAGUGAUGAAGGCCCUAGGGUUGUAAAGCUCUUUUACCCGGGAAGAUAAUGACUGUACCGGGAGAAUAAGCCCCGGCUAACUCCGUG
rnacentral:rRNA from 1 species